CUUCCUUCAUCAAACAUUUAUUGAACAUGUACUCUGAUCUGGGAGUUAAUAAUGAAAACAGACAUGAGCCCUGCUGGUAUUAUGGAGCUUGUAUUCUAGUAGAGGAAGACAGACAAGAGAAAACAUCAAUGAUGAAGAUAAAUCUCAGAUAAGGAUAAGUGACUUGAAAAAUAAAUACAAUAGGCUGGACGUGGUGGCUCAUGCCUGUAAUCUCAGCACUUUGGGAGGCCAAGGCUGGAGGAUCACCUGAGGUCGAGAGUUCAAGACCAGCCUGGCCAACAUGGUGAAACCCUGUCUCUACUAAAAAUACAAAAAUUAGCCAGGCAUGGUAGUGGGCGCCUGUAACCCAGCUACUCAGGAGGCUGAGACAGGAGAAUUGCUUGAACCCGGGAGGCGGAGGUUGCAGUAAGCUGAAAUCACGCUACUGCACUCCAUCCUGGGUGACAGAGCAAGACUCCAUCUUAAAGAAAAAAAAAAAUAAAAGAAGAAAAGAAAAAUAAAUACAAUAAUAAAUCAAACAGAGUGAUGGAGAUAAUGACAGAGUGCAGGGAAGACUACUUGAAACAGGAAAAUCAGGGAAGGCCUCUUGGAGGAGGUAACAUUUGAGCUGAAGACAGGAGUCAUUUGAACGCUGGGGUUGGGGAGUGGUGGGGGGGCGUCGGGGGGAGAGGAAGUGCAAAAGCUCUUAAAGCUUUUGAGAACAAGCUCAGGUUGUUUAGGGAGCAGACAGAAGGGCCAGUGUGGCUGGAGCACAGGGAGACAGAGGGAGUGGUGAGAAGGGAAAUCAAAGGGUGCCCUUGAAGACUAGGGGAGGGGCUUGGAUUUCAUUCUAAGUGCAGUGGAAAGCCAUUAGGUUUUAACAGAGUGUAGUACCAAAGAUUUUUAUUUUUUUUUUGAGAUGGAGUCUUGCUCUGUCAUCCAGGCUGGAGUGCAGUGGCAUGAUCUCAGCUCACUGCAACCUCCACCUCCCGGUUCAAGCGAUUCUCCUGCCUCAGCCUCCUGAGUAGCUGGGAUUACAGGUGCCCGCCACCACGCCCAGCCAAUUUUUGUAUUUUUAGUAGAGACGGGGGUUUCUCCAUGUUGGCCAGGCUGGCCUCGAACUCCUGACCUCCAGUGAUCUGCCUGCCUUGGCCUCCCAAAAUGAUGGGAUUACAGGCGUAAGACACUGUGCCUGGCCCCAAAGGUUUACUGUUAACUAUUAUUAUUAAUUUUGGGGAUAUUAAAUUAGGGUCGGGGUGAUGACUACUAUGUACACGAGUCUCUUGGGAGGGGACCAGGUGCCCAGAACUCUGAUAAAUUGAGAGCAGGGGAAUUCAAAUCCUGGAUCCAGGGAAGGGAACUGGAUGAUGGGAUGUCUGGGUAUCUGAUGGGCCAGAGCUGGGUUUGGGAUAGCUGUUGGUGAUUCGGGCUCCCUGAGGGGGUGAGGGAUGGACAGUUCAGUGCUUGGCUGGGUACCCCAAGACCUGGAAGCUGGAAUACCAGUAUAGCACAGACUCUAGAGCCACACUGGUUGGACUCAAAAUCCAAGCUGUUUUACUCAAUGGCUGUGUAAUUUUUGGCAAGUUACUAAUAACUUCUCUAUGCCUCAGUCUCUUCAUCUGAAAAAUAGAGAUAAUAGUAAAUACAUUAUAGGGCAGUUCUUAGGGUAGUGCUAGUCAUAUCAGGCAUUGGGGCUCUGAGUGGAGUCAGUACUGGGGGACCCUGAUUCAGGAUCUCUAGGAGUUGGGGAAGGGGCAAAUUCUUGGGUCCAUUGGGUCUCAAGGCUAAAGUUGGGAAUCCAAAAUGAGGGUCCCUGGGGGAGAAUAAGUAGUCUCAAACUUAAGUGCCUGAGAGACAGAAACUGGGGUCCGCACUCAGAUCCCUAAGGAAGUUGCAAAGUCUGGGUCACUGAAGGAAAAAUUAGGGGCUGGGGAGACAUACGUUCCUCUUGGGGAGCAGGAAAAGAGGGCUCCACUUUCUUGAGAGGACUAGGGGGAGCCAGGGGCUAGGAAGAUGGAAACUUGAGCCGGGGAGGUGAAAAACACGAGUCUAGGACUCAGAAUCAAGUUCCCUGAGUGGGAUCGGCGCCAGGCUUGGGUACCCUGGGGAUAUUAGGGGGGUCCCCGCACUAUGGCUAUGUAGAAGGGGAAGAAUCAAAGGAUCUGAGGGUGGCGGCGGGAUCUCCCCAUCCUGGGCCUCCGAGAUUAUGAGCUGAGCUGAGCGUACGCAGGCCGCUUCCUCCCACAGGAAACCGCAGGCUUCGGGCACACCCAGCCUGCAGGGAGAGGCGCCCACUGCCCGCCCGCCCGGGGAGGCCCACGUGGGCAGCAGCCGCCGCCGCGGAGGGGGCGUGCCUUACAGAGCGAGUGGGUGUAACCAGAGGGGGCGUGGCCAGAAACCGGGGGGCGGUAUGGAGUGCCCGAGGUCUCACCCACUUCCGCCCUCCAGCGCGCGGACGUGGUAGGCGGCCAAGCGUUUUUGGCUGCUUCCCGGGAAGCCGUUGGUCGCGCUUGCGUAGUGAACCGCUGAGGCUGUGUUGAGCGCUCCUUCUCCGCGCAACUCCCGGCUUCGACACCGCCUUCCUUCCUAUGAAUCCUUAAUUUAACGUGGUCACAGUCAGCUUAAGACCGGCACCUCUCGGGCUCCGUCUUGUAGGACCUCGGCCUGGCUUCGAGGGCUUCCAUACAGGUCACCGCAGGCUCUUUCAACUCCCGCCGCUUCCAGGCCCGCGUAACCAGACCACAACACUGAACUUGGAGCACCAAGAACAG
rnacentral:lncRNA from 1 species